rnacentral:rRNA from 1 species
AACGAACGCUGGCGGCAUGCCUAACACAUGCAAGUCGAACGAGACCUUCGGGUCUAGUGGCGCACGGGUGCGUAACGCGUGGGAACCUGCCCCUUGGUUCGGAAUAACAGUUAGAAAUGACUGCUAAUACCGGAUGAUGACUUCGGUCCAAAGAUUUAUCGCCGAGGGAUGGGCCCGCGUAGGAUUAGCUAGUUGGUGGGGUAAUGGCCUACCAAGGCGACGAUCCUUAGCUGGUCUGAGAGGAUGAUCAGCCACACUGGGACUGAGACACGGCCCAGACUCCUACGGGAGGCAGCAGUGGGGAAUAUUGGACAAUGGGCGAAAGCCUGAUCCAGCAAUGCCGCGUGAGUGAUGAAGGCCUUAGGGUUGUAAAGCUCUUUUACCCGGGAUGAUAAUGACAGUACCGGGAGAAUAAGCUCCGGCUAACUCCGUGCCAGCAGCCGCGGUAAACGUAGCGUG